AACGAACGCUGGCGGCAGGCCUAACACAUGCAAGUCGAGCGGACCCUCCGGGAUAGGCGGCGGACGGGGGAGGAAAGCGGGGGACCGGGCCCUUUGCUUCGGAAAACUCCUGGGAAACGGGGGGUAAUACCGGUAACGUCCUUCUAGGAAAAGAUUCAGCCGACUAGGAUGGGCCGGGGUUGGUUUGGCCAGUGGGGGGGGAAAUGGCCUACCAAGCCGAGGCUCAUUAGCGGGUUUGAGAGGAUGAUCAGCCACACUGGGACUCGGAACCGGCCCAGAUUCCUACGGGAGGCAGCAGUGGGGAAUCUUGGACAAUGGGGGAAAUGCUGAUCGAGCCAUGCCGCGUGAGCGAUGAAGGCCUUAGGGUUGUAAAGCUCGUUAACCCGGGAAGAUAAUGACGGUACCCGGAGAAUAAGCACCGGCUAACUCCGUG
rnacentral:rRNA from 1 species